rnacentral:hammerhead_ribozyme from 1 species
AUCCGGCUGACGAGUCUCAAACAGGACGAAACGCGCGUCCUGGAU